rnacentral:sRNA from 1 species
GAGGGCAAUGCCUGCCCAGUUAAGAAGAAUGGAAGAAUCUCAUCAAGAAGCAACAGAGAAAGAAGUAGAAAGAAUCUUGGGAUUGUUGCAGACAUAUUUUCGAGAAGAUCCUGAUACCCCAAUGUCCUUCUUUGACUUUGUGGUUGAUCCUCAUUCUUUCCCCCGUACAGUGGAAAACAUCUUUCAUGUUUCCUUCAUUAUACGGGAUGGUUUUGCAAGAAUAAGACUUGACCAAGACCGACUGCCAGUAAUAGGUAAAUGAUACUAUGUUUGGAAAAAUUAGUUUUAGAGAAAAUAUAUUUGUUAGUAGAAUUUAAAUAUUUUACUAAAUGUAAAUGAAUUUUCAAUGUAGAUUAACUUUUACAAUAUUGUAUCUUGCUCAACUAUCUGAAGAUACUGAAAACAUGGCCAGCGUCUAAAAUUUUGAUGGAUUCAUCUAUAUCGAUUCAACAUCUGCUGUAAAUAUUAACAAAGAAAUGAUAUAAUUUCCCUCAGAUCUUAAUUUAGAAAGUUGGUGAUUGCAGUCAUUUUUGUAGUAUCCCUCUUUCUAAUCACGUUUUGUCAGAUGCCGGCACCUUCUUUUCUCUUUGAGGUUCUAUGAAUCUUUCAUUCUUACCUGAAUAAUUUCACACUCUCCAUUACUCAUGUCCUCCUAAGGUCUCCUGUGGAGAGUGAAUAUUUCCAUCGCACU